GAGGGAUUAAGUGCUCAUAAAGCGAUUAGGACAGUGCUUGGCACAUAGUAAGCACUCAGUGAAUCGUUCUAAUGAUAGCCGUUGUGCAUACUAAUUAGGCUUGCUUGGUAUCUUGAGCCGCCUGACUUGGCUACCUUAUAUUUACACAGUUGCGUGAGUGUUUUCUAAUCCAAACACUGAAAUAGUUUGUAUUGAUACAGGGAUGCAUGUGCAGGCUGGGUCUGGGGAUCUGGGGGUUGUGUAAGAUAAGUAUGUUAGCUGGUGUUGUGAAGCUGGGAGUGCCUGUCAAGAGCCGGAAGUAGAGGUGGAGCAACUGUUGUGCUGGAGAAGAAGGAGAGCCAGAAGCCUGGGAGGGAAAUCCUUGAGGGCUUUUCAGAGCUGAGCAGCUGUGGAUGAAGCUACAGCUAGGUGCCCUUGGAUGGGGGUGGUGAAAACAACUCCUGGAUUCCCCCUCCCUGCUCUUUCAAACAGAAAGGAAGGAAGAAAACCAGAGUUUUUGAACCAGUUUUGCAAAAUUUAUAGAAGGCUGAGUAGUUUGGGGUCAUAGGUGAAGAUAUGCACCAGGGACACAUACUAAGGACUGUCCUACACACAGGGAGAACGAACUGCCCUGAAUGCAGCAACCAUUACAAACGGAGUAUGGACUGCUGUGGCAGGAGGAGUCCCAUGGAGCACUAGGGGAGCCGAAUCUGUAACUUUCCCUUGUACCACUGGGUUCUCAGUCCAGCUGCAGUCCCCUUCUCUGGCUUAUCUAUUAGUUGGUGAAUUUGUAUAUGCAAUGACAACAAAUCGCUGAGCUCUAGGAGAGGAGCUGUAGAGAUCUCUGAUGGCAUCCAGGACACCCUCAGCUGACAUCUCUAUGGCGACUUCCCACAUGCCCGGUGACUCAGUUGCAGGAAGUGCUGACUCCCUCUCACCUCCACAGAACCAAUAUGAACUGGAGUAGAUGAGGCAACAAAUAAUAGAGAAUAAGGAACUGGGAGUCUGGACUGCAAUUAACUCUCAUUCUCAUCCUCACUUGGGUAACUCUAGGCCAGUGCAAAUAGCCUUUCUGUGUCUCAGCUUCCUCAUCUGUGAUGGGGAUAAUAGCACCUUGUGCUGUUACAAGGGUUGAGUGAGCUAAAAUACUGUAUAUGUACUUUGAACUGGGCCUGGUGGGUAGUGUAUGCCACAUACAAGCUGUUGAGCAGGGGAACCCAACUGGAAUGAUGUCAGAGCUCGGGUGAAAUGGGAGACUAAAACAGGUGUUACUCCUGAGUAAAUUAAGUGAUCAGGAAAUUUGUAAUGAACAGUGAGCUCUGUAACAUGAUUCUCAAAGGAAGAAGAGAAUCAUGUCUCCAAGGGUGGAAGAAAAGGGCUAGAUCUGGUUCUAAGAAGCAAGUGCCCCUUCCCCCAGGGCCAUGGGAAACUGAGUCCUUAGGAUUUAAUUUGUAGGCACGGGAAACUUGUUUGGGACAGCCCAGAGUGGAACCCAUUUGGGCAGAGAAGUUAUAGGGGCAAGAGGAGGAAGAAAUGGGAAGGGGAAUAAAAAGGUCCUUACUUGGGGAAUUGGCUUCAUAUAUGAAUCAGAACUCCGAGUUGCAAGGAAAUCUAGCUAAAACUGUCAUAAACCCAAAAGAGAAUUAGGAACUCCUAUUGUCAGGAGCUCCAGUUGCCUAAAACUAUCAUGUUUUAU
rnacentral:lncRNA from 1 species